rnacentral:rRNA from 1 species
CCUACGGGUGGCAGCAGUGGGGAAUAUUGCACAAUGGGCGAAAGCCUGAUGCAGCAACGCCGCGUGAAGGAUGAAGGCCUUCGGGUCGUAAACUUCUGUCAUUGGGGACGAAGAACUGAUGUUACCCACGGCGGAAGCUCCGGCUAACUACGUGACAGCAGCCGCGGUACUACGUGGGGGGCAAGCGUUAUCCGGAAUUAUUGGGCGUAAAGAGUACGUAGGUGGCAACCUAAGCGCAGGGUUUAAGGCAAUGGCUCAACCAUUGUUCGCCCUGCGAACUGGGAUGCUUGAGUGCAGGAGAGGAAAGCGGAAUUCCUAGUGUAGAGGUGAAAUGCGUAGAUAUUAGGAGGAACACCAGUGGCGAAGGCGGCUUUCUGGACUGUAACUGACACUGAGGUACGAAAGCAUGGGGAGCAAACAGGAUUAGAUACCCUUGUAGUC